rnacentral:rRNA from 1 species
GACGAACGCUGGCGGCGUGCUUAACACAUGCAAGUCGAACGGAAGGCCCUGCUUUUGUGGGGUGCUCGAGUGGCGAACGGGUGAGUAACACGUGAGUAACCUGCCCUUGACUUUGGGAUAACUUCAGGAAACUGGGGCUAAUACCGGAUAGGAGCUCCUGCUGCAUGGUGGGGGUUGGAAAGUUUCGGCGGUUGGGGAUGGACUCGCGGCUUAUCAGCUUGUUGGUGGGGUAGUGGCUUACCAAGGCUUUGACGGGUAGCCGGCCUGAGAGGGUGACCGGCCACAUUGGGACUGAGAUACGGCCCAGACUCCUACGGGGGCAGCAGUGGGGAAUAUUGCACAAUGGGCGGAAGCCUGAUGCAGCAACGCCGCGUGCGGGAUGACGGCCUUCGGGUUGUAAACCGCUUUCGCCUGUGACGAAGCGUGAGUGACGGUAAUGGGUAAAGAAGCACCGGCUAACUACGUG